rnacentral:rRNA from 1 species
CCUACGGGUGGCAGCAGUGGGGAAUAUUGGGCAAUGGAGGAAACUCUGACCCAGCAACGCCGCGUGAAUGAUGAAGGUCUUCGGAUUGUAAAGUUCUUUUUUAAGGGAAGUAGAAAGUGAUGGUACCUUAUGAAUAAGCCUCUGCUAACUAUGUGCAACCAGUCGCGGCAAUACGUAGGAUGCGAGCGUUACCCGGAUUGAAUGGGAGUAAAGGGUGCGUAGGUGGUUUGGCAAGUUAGUAGCGAAACUCAAAGGCUCAACUUUGGAACUACUACUAAUACUGUUGGGCUUGAGUGCAGGAGGGGUAGGCGGAAUGUCUGGUGUAGCGGUGGAAUGCGUAGAGAUUAGAAAGAACACCGAUGGCGAAGGCAGGUUACUAGGCU